CCUACGGGAGGCAGCAGUGGGGGAUAUUGCACAAUGGGGGAAACCCUGAUGCAGCGACGCCGCGUGGGCGAAGAAGUAUUUCGGUAUGUAAAGCCCUAUCAGCAGGGAAGAAGCAAUGACGGUACCUGAGUAAGAAGCACCGGCUAAAUACGUGCCAGCAGCCGCGGUAAUACGUAUGGUGCAAGCGUUAUCCGGAGUUACUGGGUUUAAAGGGAGCGCAGGCGGCACGGGAAGCCUGAUGUGAAAGUACGCGGCUAAACCGCGGGACUGCAUUGGUAACUAGCGGGCUGGAGUGCCGGAGAGGUAGGCGGAAUUCGUGGUGUAGCGGUGAAAUGCGUAGAUAUUAGGAGGAACACCAGUGGCGAAGGCGGCCUACUGGACUGUGACUGACGCUGAGGCUCGAAAGCGUGGGGAGCAAACAGGAUUAGAUACCCGAGUAGUC
rnacentral:rRNA from 1 species